AGUAAUUAUCAAGAAUCUCAUAGAUGGGAUAGCAACCUGCAAAAACAAGCAAGGUGCUGAAAUAGAUAAGCCGGUAUGCCCGGAAAAAAUGUUUAUUCU
rfam:Chryseobacterium sp. BLS98 contig01, whole genome shotgun sequence.